rnacentral:rRNA from 1 species
AGAGUUUGAUCAUGGGCCUCAGAACGAACGCUGGCGGCAUGCCUAACACAUGCAAGUCGAACGAGACCUUCGGGGUCUAGUGGCGCACGGGUGCGUAACGCGUGGGGAUCUGCCCUUUGCUUCGGAAUAACAGUUAGAAAUGACUGCUAAUACCGGAUGAUGUCGUAAGACCAAAGAUUUAUCGGCAAAGGAUGAACCCGCGUAGGAUUAGCUAGUUGUGGGGUAAAGGCCUACCAAGGCGACGAUCCUUAGCUGGUCUGAGAGGAUGAUCAGCCACACUGGGACUGAGACACGGCCCAGACUCCUACGGGAGGCAGCAGUGGGGAAUAUUGGACAAUGGGCGAAAGCCUGAUCCAGCAAUGCCGCGUGAGUGAUGAAGGCCUUCGGGUUGUAAAGCUCUUUUACCAGGGAUGAUAAUGACAGUACCUGGAGAAUAAGCUCCGGCUAACUCCGUG